rnacentral:rRNA from 1 species
GGAAUAUUGGGCAAUGGGCGGAAGCCUGACCCAGCAACGCCGCGUGAGGGAAGAAGGUCUUCGGGUUGUAAACCUCUGUCCUUGGUGAAAAGGAAGGAUGGUAGCCAAGGAGGAAGCCCCGGCUAACUACGUGCCAGCAGCCGCGGUAAUACGUAGGGGGCGAGCGUUGUCCGGAAUGAUUGGGCGUAAAGGGCGUGUAGGCGGCUGUAUAAGUCUGGAGUGAAAGUCCCGUUUUCAAGAUGGGAAUUGCUUUGGAUACUGUACAGCUUGAGUGCAGGAGAGGUUAUCGGAAUUCCCGGUGUAGCGGUGAAAUGCGUAGAGAUCGGGAGGAACACCAGUGGCGAAGGCGGGUAACUGGACUGCAACUGACGCUGAGGCGCGAAAGUGUGGGGAGCAAACA